rnacentral:misc_RNA from 1 species
GAUUAAGAACGUAGCGAAAUGCGAUACGUAAUGUGAAUUGCAGAAUUCAGUGAAUCAUCGAAUCUUUGAACGCAUAUUGCGCUCUUUGGUAUUCCGAAGAGCAUGCUUGUUUGAGUAUCAGUAAACACCUCAACCUCUUCUUGAUUUUUCAAAAGGAGGGUGGACUUGAGCUAUCCCAACAACCUUUACCGGUCGGCGGGCGGCUUGAAAUGCAAGUGCAGCUGGACUUUUAUCUGAGCUAAAAGCAUAUCUAUUUAGUCCUCGUCAAACAGGAUUAUUACUUUUGCUGCAGCUAACAUAAAGGAUAAUUGUCCUCUUUGCUGACUGAUGCAGGAUUUUACGACACUUUAUGUGUUGUUCAACUCGAUCUCAAAUCAAGUAAGACUACCCGCUGAACUUAAGCAUAUCAAUAAGCGGAGGA